rnacentral:rRNA from 1 species
UACAGAGGGUGCGAGCGUUGUUCGGAAUUAUUGGGCGUAAAGCGCUUGUAGGCGGCUUGUUAAGUUCCGUGUGAAAUCCCCAGGCUUAACCUGGGAAGUGCGCGGAAAACUGGCGAGCUUGAGUGCCGGAGAGGGUCGCGGAAUUCCCGGUGUAGAGGUGAAAUUCGUAGAUAUCGGGAGGAACACCAGUGGCGAAGGCGGCGACCUGGGACGGAACACGUGACGCUCGA